UACGGGGGUGGCGAGCGUUGUCCGGAAUCACUAGGCGUAAAGGGCAAGUAGGCGGAAUGGUAAGUGAGGUGUCAAAUGCGUCGGCCCAACCGGCGUUGUGCAUUUCAUACUGUCAUUCUAGAGUAGGGUAGAGGAAGACGGAAUUCCUGGUGUAGCGGUGGAAUGCGCAGAUAUCAGGAAGAACACCGGUGGCGAAGGCGGUCUUCUGGGCCACUACUGACGCUAAAUUGCGAAGGUGUGGGUAUCGAACAGGAUUAGAUACCCUGGUAGUCCACACAGUAAACUAUGUACACUAGGCGUCGGGAGGGACAAGCCUUUCGGUGCCGUAGCUAACGCGUUAAGUGUAUCGCCUGGGGAGUACGAUCGCAAGGUUAAA
rnacentral:rRNA from 1 species